rnacentral:rRNA from 1 species
CGCGAGGUGGAGCUAAUCCCAUAAAACUAUUCUCAGUUCGGAUUGUAGGCUGCAACUCGCCUACAUGAAGCCGGAAUCGCUAGUAAUCGUGGAUCAGCAUGCCACGGUGAAUACGUUCCCGGGCCUUGUACACACCGCCCGUCACACCACGAGAGUUUGUAACACCCGAAGUCGGUAGGGUAACCUUUAUGGAGCCAGCCGCCGAAGGUGGGACAGAUAAUUGGGGUGAAGUCGUAACAAGGUAGCCGUAUCGGAAGGUGCGGCUGGAUCACCUCCUUUCUAAGGAA